GUUUAGGGGUAAACCUGAGAAACCCGAAAGGUCGAAGGGAGAAAUUCAUUCGCGUUUCGCCGACGGCGUGAGACGGUCGUGUGACGGAAGACGUUCGCGUUUUCCGCUCCCUCCGUUUUUCGAUCCGAUAGUGAACGCGUGCACUUUUCUCCCGGUAGGACGUCGCGAUCCGUUGGGUGUCGGUCUACGGCUCGCGGUGGAGCCCGUACGUACGGCUUGCCGUUUCGUGCGGACCCGCGUGUCCCGGCUGACUCGCUCGACGGUAUACGAAAGGUUUAAGGCCGCUCUUUGAGCGUUCGGCUCGUCGCAAGCGCGUCAGAUGUGUCGGCGACCGGUCACGGUUCCGACCUCUGGCGACUGUUGGCGACGAAGUUCUCGAACAGACCUCGGACCGAUCUGCGACGCUAUAGCUUUGGGUACUUUCAGGACCCGUCUUGAAACACGGACCAAGGAGUCUAGCAUGUACGCGAGUCAUUGGGAAUCACUAAACCUAAAGGCGAAAUGAAAGUAAAGGUCCGCCUCGCGCGGACCAAGGGAAGACGGGCGGUUUACCCUUAAAAGUGGCCGCCUCGCACUCCCGGGACGUCUCGUUCUCAUCGCGAGAAGAGGCGCACCAAGAGCGUACACGCUGGGACCCGAAAGAUGGUGAACUAUGCCUGGUCAGGACGAAGUCAGGGGAAACCCUGAUGGAGGUCCGUAGCGAUUCUGACGUGCAAAUCGAUCGUCGGAACUGGGUAUAGCGGCGAAAGACUAAUCGAACCAUC
rnacentral:rRNA from 1 species